UAACCUACAAACUAAGCUAAAAUUCAAGACAUGCAUUGAGCAAAGGCAAAUGUAUAAAACUAAAAAAUACCAACUAUGGAUCUAUUAAAAAAAAUAUCAUACUACAAAAUAUCUAAACUAAAAUUAAAUUCUCAAAGUAUAGAAUAUUUAUAAUAUAAAAUAUAACUUUAAUUAGCCCUCAAAAAGUUAUUACAAAUCUUCUUUACAUAAUUCUAAUAUUUAUAAAACCUUUUGAAAGUCUCUUCUCUCAAUUCACUUUUUGAUCAACAAAUGAAUAUCUUUUUUUUCAUGCAUUGUCUUAAUCUUAUAUACAUUAAAAAGUAAUAAAAUUAAAAAAAUAUAUAAUUAUUCUUUAAAUAACCUUAAAAUAUUAUUUAAAUUUAUUAUUUUUAUUUUUAUUAUUUAUGCUAUUUUUAAAUUUACUAAUAUUACUAAUCAUUGUUUGUCUUUAUUUUUCUUUAGGAUCUUUAUAACACAAAAACUACUUAUUAAAAUUAUAAAUUUAUUAAAUUUUAAUUGUCUUACUAUCUAAUUUUUAUGUUUUUUUUUGGUCAUUAAUUUUCAGCAUGAAAUAAGCAUGUGUAAAAUUCAAAUUUUUUAUAAUACAAAAAAUUAUGUAGUUUUGGUAUUACAUGCUAAAAUACAUAAAAAUAUUAUAUAUAUAUAUAUAUAUAUAUAUAUAUAUAUAUAUUUAAAAUUUUGAAUUCAUAAAAAGCUCUAAAAUGGUAUCAUACUUUCUUUUAUUCUUUUAAGCACAAAAAUAGUAGUACUUAAUCUUGUCUUCAUAUCUUAUUUUAAGAAGUUUUUAAUUAAUUUUUUUAUUUGAAACCUCAAUUUGGAAACAUAUUGAUUAAUUUACAGAAAAAAGUUAGUUCUUUAUUUCUGUUCAUGUUCUAUUUUAUGUUAUUAAAAAUAUUCUAUUAAAUAUAAUCUUCUUUUAAUUUUUAAUUUUUUUAUGGUAUCUAUUAUAUUUAUUGUAUGUAUGUGUAUAUAUGUAUAUAUGUAUAUAAUUUGGAACCAUUUUUUAUUUAAUUUUAAAUUUUUAUCAUGUAAGAACUUGAAAUAAAUGAGUGAAAAGCAAUCCUAUACAUGCUGAAAAGUAAAUAAAUAUAUGUUCACAUUUUAUUUUAAUUUAAAUAAUUAGAUGAACCAUAUAUCUUAUCAUUAAAUAAUCCUUUGAGUUACAUAUAAUUUCAAUUUUUUCUGACAUUAAAAUAGUUUAUUCCUUUACUAAUUUAAAAAACUAUAUUUAAUAGACAUUGCAAGAUAUAUGUUUUAAAUUUUGUUAAAAAUAAGAAUUUUUCUAUUUUCUUUGUUUAUAUAUAUAUAUAUAUAUAUAUAUACAUAUACAUAUACUGGUUUCUGAAAUCAAAUUCUUUUCACAAUAUGAUAUAGUAUAUUUUACAAUAAUUAAAUCCAAUGUUUUUUGUACUUUGUUAAAAAAACUGGAGAUUGAUUGGUUUACUUACUUAUUACAAAAUGUUAUGCAAAUCUAAGAAAUUAAAACAGCUAAUAAUUUUCAAAUUCUAAACUUCCCUUGUGCCAAUUUAAUAUUCUUGCACAAUUUACCAUCCACCUUCAUUUAUAGUAAUGACUUUAGGUCUAUGUUAAUUAUACAGAUUUGUAUGUCUUUUGAUCCAAACUAAUAUUGUUCUUUUUGUGAACCUCUAUAGAUUUAUGUAUAUAUUUGUUUAUUUAUUUAUACUUGUGUGAAAUAAAGCUUUAAAUAAAUAUACAAAACAUCCUCUCAUGCAUAUUCAAAUUUAAUAAUCUAAAAUAUAUUAUUAAUGAUAGAUGAGACAAGAGAAUACAAAAAUUCAACAUUGUGUGUUAAUUAAAGAAGAUAAUUACAAUAAAUGUAUAUAUAUAUAUAUAUAUAUAUAUAUAAAGAGAGAGAGAGAGAGAGAGAGAGAGAUAGAUAGAUAGAUAGAUAGAUAGAUAGAUAUGCUUUGAUAAUUAUUGAAGUUCUUUAAUAUGUUUAAUAUCUUGUAUAAUAAACAUGGUAUGUAAUUAAAUUUUGUUUUCAAGGUUUUUAUAACACUGAUAUUUGACAUAAUAAAUGUUAUAGUAGAAUUGAGUUCUAGUUUUUUAAUUCAAAGUUGAAAUAUUUUUGUGUUUAUGUUUUUAUAUCCUUAUAUAUAUAUAUAUAUAUAUAUAUAUAUAUUCAAACUUAUUUUUUAAAACAAAUGAACAAGUAAAAAAAUAUUUGUAUGAAUUUGAGUAAGCCAUUAAUAUUUUUAAAAUAUUUUUUUAAUUAAACCAAUUAUCAAACUUGAAUUAAAUUAUUAUUUGAAUAUAGAGACAGAAAUAAAAAUAUCAUUGUGUUGACUUGGAAUUGGAGAUAUAUUGUGUAGUGCAGAAGAAUCAUUUGGGUUAUAGAGAGGACACCAAUAGGAAUUGUAAUGAAUUUCGACAAAAUAGUACCAAUUAAUAUUCAAAGAAUAAAAUCGAAUGUUAUUCUAACAAAGCCAAAUUUAGAAUUUCAACAAGAGUGUUUGAAACUUUAUAUCACAUAUAUUGCAUUGUAGAAGUCAAAUAUACGUCACAUAUUCUAUUACUUGCAUUAACAAUUGGUAAUAAGGUUAUUAUUCUUGCAAGUUACUUUAUUUGGUCAUUUUUUUACAUAUCGUAGAUUAAAGUUGUAAUUUUAAUACUAUUAAAUUAUUGGAAUGUGAUCUUUACAAUUUUAUCACAUUUCAACAAACAAGAAUUUAAAUAACUUUUUAUAAGUAAUGUAUUUAUGCUAUAAUUGAAAUUGGUGUCCGGAAAUGUGACACAUGUGUUGUGUUGUACAAUUGGUGUAAUACAAGUAAAUAUAAGUUUAAUAGAAGUUAGAUUCAUGAAGUUAAGAAGGAGUUGAAAGUUGUUAGAUUGUGGUAAAUUAAAGAAAGGACAUGAAUUGUGAGAAAGAUGGGAAUAAAUUGUUGAAGUAUGGAAUUAAAUUGAAUUCUUAAAUCUAUAGGUAAAUUUGAAGAUUUAAGAAAAAUUAAUCAUUGAAGCAUUUAAUAUCAAACAUAAAAUACUUUUGAUAAAAAGAGAGAGUAAUAAAUAUUUAUUUUAAGAGACUAAAAUAGAUUCCAAUAAAUAGUUAUAUUUCUACAAAAGUACACACAUGCAAUAGAAUCUAAAAAUGAGUUUUCAAAUUUUGACAAUUUGGAUAUUAGUAAAAGAUAUUUACAGUUUUUUUGAAUAUAUUUCUGAUUAAAUUUAUACUUUUUUAUGAAAGAAUAAUUUCUUAAAAAAUGUGAAAAGAAAUAAAAAUAAAAAUAAAAUGGAAAGAACUUAGUUCAGAAGUAUAUUUAGCAUAUUUUAAGGUUUUUUCCUUCAACUUUUGUUUAAUUUAGGAAUUGACUUGUAAUAUUUUCUGAUAUUGAAAUUUCUUUUGUUUUGUUCUAUCUUUUUAUUUCAAUUGCAACUUGUUAUAAUAUAAUUCUUAUGGCAUAUUUUAACAUAAACUUUUAACUAUUUAUUUGGUCAAAAAAACUUAAAAGUCCUAGGCUAAAUUUUUAGAUUUUGAAUUUUUUUUUUUUUUUUUUUGGUUUUUUUGUUUUGUUUGUUUGUUUGUUUGUUUUUUUUUUUUUUUUUUUUUUUUUCAUUUAAGUAACAUACAUAUGUUUUUGUAAAUUUCUUCUUGUAUGAAGGUUGUAGUAUAUUAAAGUUAUACAUUAUUACAACCAUUUAUACUUUUAUUUUAGCAAUGUAUUUACAUGAUUAAAACAUUUCUAUAAAUGUGUGACUUUAAAAUUGACACCAAAUUUUUAUAAAAACUAAUGUUGAUGCUUAAAAAUUUCUCAGGAAAAAGAUAUUGGUGCAUUUACGUAGAUUUUACAAUUUAGUCAAGUAAAUGACUAAAAAGAUUAAUAUAAAUGUAAAUUAUAAUAUGGUAAAAAAGUACAUAUAAUUUUUUGAACUAAAGCAAUAGUGGUGUUGGUUUGAGUUAGCCAUCUUUUCUUAAUACCGACAUUCCAAAAUUUAAGAAAGAAAAAAAAAAUGAUUUUAAAGAAAAAAUAAAAUAUUUUUCUACUUUUAUUUAUAUGUAUAAUUUUUUUAUGAAUAUAUUGACUCAAAAUAGAUCUUAUCAUCAAAAAAUUAAAAAAAAAUGUAUUUUCUUCACCACAUAGGCUUGAAUUAAGAGUAUACAUAGAAAAUAACAUAUCUUUGGAAUUUUCUCAUUUAUAGAUGAAAUUUAUUCUAAGAGUAGGAUUAAAAUAAGUCUCUAUUUUAUAAAAUAAAUAAAACAUAUUAAAGUCCUUCUAACAAGUAAAGAAGUAACAUUACAAUAAAGAAAAGAAAAAUAAAAAACUAAGUUAAUAAAUAGAAGAGAAAAAAUAAUAAUAAUAAUAAUAUAUAUAUAUAUAUAUAUAUGUAUAUACUUUUGAUUAGCCCUUGUUGUAGUCAACUUUGUUAAAGUCAAAAUCUAAUUAUACUCAAACUAUUUUAUUAGUCACAAUCUAUACCAAAGAUACUAUACUUCUAUAUAAAGUCAAUAGUUUACUUGUCCUUGAGAGGUUGACAAUAAUGAGGGCCAGCAAUAUAUAUCUAUUUAAGUAAUAGAUGGGUUUUUUUAUUUAAAAAAAAAAGAAUAAAAAAUAGAAAAUCUCAAACCAUUCAUUUUAAAUAUAUAUAUUAAUAAAUUUUAUUGAACAUUCUACUGAUUUUUGACUUUUCAAAUUUCUUUAAAAAAUUUGCCCAGAAAAAGACUUGAUAAAAAUUUCAAGUUACAAUACUAUUCAUAUCAUGUAAGAAUUAAAUAUAUUUUACCUUUUUUUUUUUUUCUUUUUUUGUAUUCAGAUUAAUUUUUCUAAGCACAAAACCAAUCAAAUCACAUUUGAUUAAUUUUUUAAUUUUUUAACCAAUCAAAACUAUGAACACUUGUGACUUUUGAUCGUUUGUCCCAAAAGUCAUAGUUUGUAAAGAAUAUGAAUAAAAUAAACUAAACUACUCCAAAUGUCAUAAGAGUAUUAUUAGUCUUGUGUCCCAACUUCAAAAUAAGAAAUUAUAAAAACCCAACCCAUUUCCCCUACUAGCAUCAAUCAAUUAUUAAAUCAGUUCUUUUGCUAAGUAGCCGAUAAAUUUCUAAGAAACUUUUACUAGACCACAUCAUACUUGUCCAACUACCACAAUUUAAAUAAAUAUAUAUAUAUAUAUAUAUAUAUAUACAUAUAUAUAGAUAUGAAUAAAAGAAUCAUUUCUCUCUGUAACUAUUUGGUGGAAAUGUAACUGUGAUGAGCUUCUGGUACUUACGCAAGAUCUGCUUCCAGCUUCAUGCAUCAGUUUAAUGAAACAAGUAGAGCUCAAAGGCGACAAACUGGAACACAAAAAAAACGCAUGUCGGUGUGGAAUAAAGCGUGCAACGUCGAUCAGUUCCAAUACCGACGUGAGCCCACCCUCCGAAGCUGUGCCGUCGAAGACGAUACACAUCGCAGUCAAGUUGCAAAUCCUCUGCAAGCUUCCAAAUUGUAAUGUGGGUCAGCUCCCAGAAUGUGGAGGCCAACAUCUCAUGCAUCCAUGCAUGCAGUUGAUCGAUUUUUCAAGUCUGGAGAAGGAUCAUGUGACUGACGGCAACGGCACCAUUUUGUGGGGCAGGAUUGAUAAGCCAAAUUGGGGUGAUAAGCCACCCACCUUCAUUGCUCUACUCGGCGCAGCAGGUCAGCGAGCAAAUCCCCCGAUUCGGUGAUUAACUGUCCACUGCUCGGUGAUUUGCGGUGCCCUUGGAUCGGCUGGAAGCAAGAGUGGGAAUUAUAAUAAAGCUUGUCACCGUGACUGACAAUCCAGAGCCUCAUCAAAGCGCAUCGCUUCAUCCCCUCACGACUUCCCCUCAAUUGUGGGUGUCAGCAGCAUCGUACCCUCAACGGUUGAAUUGAACGCUGUCUGCAAUUUGUGGCUCCCCUCGUCGGUGGCCGUGUCGGUGGUUGAAUGUCAGAAAGUGGCGAGUGUGAAUCCAUCCUUUGCAAGCAAUUCACUGCUUGCCUUUUGACACUUUCUUUGUUGCACGGUUGGAGAGCGGUUUUCUUAAAAUGAUAAAUAAAUAAAUGAAAAACACUUUUUGAUGAUGGAAUUGUUCAGGUGUGUUUGACAUAUAUCUGCCGCGUGUGAGAAGAAUGAGAAAAUUGAUUGAUUGUGUAAGAAAUAAUGAACACACAGACUUGUUCUUCAAAAAGGUUUGAAGUUGUAUGGACUUUUACUUGUGUGUAGCAAAGAUGAUUUAAAAAAAGUCAUUAAAAAUUAUGCAUGUGUGUGACUAUAUAUGUAUAUAAAUAUAUAUAUAUAUAUAUACACAUACAUACAUAGAGUGAUAUAUGUAUUGUGAUUAUGUCAGUUUGCAGAGGGAAUAAAAUCUUAUUACUUAUUAUGCAAAAUUACACCUGGAAUGAGUGUUUUCAAAGUAAUACUAAGUAUCUUCUACGAUGAAUUGUUUUAAUUUUAUGCAGUUUUUAUGUGAUAAAAUUUAAUAUAAAAAAUCAGUUAAGUAAGUUUUUUUUUAAGCAGUAGCUUUCUGACCAAAUAAUUUUAUUACCUUUGGUAACUAUUGAGUUCUAAAAUAUCAAAAGUUAAUGUGAGAUGAUUUCUGUGGACAAUCACACUUCUUUGUAAAAACAACAUAAAAAUAAAGCAAUUUUUUUAAAUUCGAAUGAAAUAAAUAUGAUUAUUUCAUUUUUUUUUUACAAUACAAAAUCAGAUAACUGAACCAUUGUGAUACCCUCAUGAUAUUCACUACUUUAAGAUCAAUAAAAGUGGACAAAAUCAAUCAUUAUAUGGAAAUGCAUUUUUUAAAAACAGAAUAAAAUGAAGACUCUACAUUACAAAAUUAAUGCAAGAACAAAACUUUCUGUGUUCCUUCGAGUUAUAUUGCUCCACUUUAGAAAGUUUCACAUCAGAAAAUACUCCUGACUUUUAUGUUGUUAUUGCUGUUUAAUUCCAGAAAUCAAAUAUUAUACAAUUAAUUUUAGUUUGUUCUCAUGUCUCAUUCUUAUACCAACUUUAAAUCAUGUUAUGAAAUGUAAAAAUUAUAUAUAUAUAUAUAUAUAUAUAUAUAUAUACUUGAAUUCCUUAAAAUAUGUAGUAUAUUCAUAUCGAACCAUCUAAAUGAAUUGGUGAAUGAACUUUAAUGAAGUUUAGAAGAGAUUAGAGUUCUGUAUUGUUUCAGUAGGAGAGGAAGAAGUUGCAUCAAAGUAGGAAUUGCGAAAAGGUUUUCAAUGCAACUCUUUCAGCCAAACUAGAAGGUCAUUGUUGACAAGUUUUAAAUCUAAUUUCUUUCUUUGAUGUCUGAUACGAAUACAUAAAAAAAUGCAUCUAUCCAUUAGAAUUUUGAAAUAAAUCAUAAAAAAAAUUUAUAUUAAAAAACUUGAGAAAUAAUUCCCCUCUUAUAAAACCACAGUUCCAAAUUCAGUACCCAUUCUUCUUAUAAUUUAAACUUCACUCGAUUUAUUCAAACACCGAACUGUAUGUAACAAUAAAAAUAAAAAAUAUAUGUAUUGUUUGUUUUGUUUCAUGGAAGUAGUGAUUCAAGCAUUCACACUUACACUCGGUCAUCCACAUUCAUUCCAGCACGGUCUUGGGUGACCAAAGGCGAGGAGUGUGAGGAGGAGGAGGAGGAGGAGAAGCUCAUACCCAGUGGGAAAUAAUGCAUCGGGCAAAGAUACCAUUUUUUUCCCUGAAACCCUAACCCUAACCCUAAUUAACUCAUCCCAUUAUUAUAAUUCAUUGCAUUUCGCUUUCCCCAACGGCCAUAGGGUGAGAUCAAGCCCUGAGGCCAUCCCCUAAAGCAUGAAUUUAAUAUAUAUAUAUAUAUAUAUAUAUAUGUAUAUAUAUAUAGAAAUCACUCUUUCUUUUGUUCCUUCAUCAUUAAAGGCUUAGGAGAGAAGAAAUAGGAAAAGUAGAUAAAUAAAUAAAUAAAAUGUAGAUAAAAACAACAACAACAAAAUUAUAGCAACAAAAUAAUACCCCCUUUCUUACCCAUGGCCUAUAGAUACAGUUAAAACUUGCUCAAUCUUUGUGGCACUAACUUAAUAUGUAUCAUUUACUUGAGGAAAACACCAAUGCUCAUUGUUGAUUCCCUUUGAUGUUCUAACUCAAAGUCAUUUUUUGUUUGGUUAGAACUGAAUGGACAAUAAUUCAUGACACCAUAUAUAUAUAUAUAUAUAUAUAUAUGUAUAAUACACCACCUUGAUUUAAAUAUUAAAUAAAUAAAGAAAUGUGGCAAGUGGGUUAUGGUGGCAAUAGCGAAAACUGUGAUGACAAUAGUAAUAUCGUUAAUUUAUUUAUUCACUGAUUUCUUUACUGCACUUGGAACAUAAAGUAUUAAACAAUACACGAGAUGCUGGUCAUGUUUUCUUUUACAAUAUAGAUUUAAAUACCAGAAAGAGUUUAGCUUUUUUUAAAGACGACCUUGAAUUCAACUUAUGCUUAUUUAAGAAACACGUUUUUACAACUCUUUGAAAGCCAUUCAAACAGUGUUUCGAAAAGCACAUUAAAAGAAAUAAAAAACAGCAUAUUGAUGAUUAUUGACAUGCAAAAAGUGCACUAGCUAACUUUAAUAAUAAAUACACUCUUUUGAUAUGACUGUUAAUAGAAGAAGCUUCUAGAUAUAUGUAUGAAUGCACAUUUCUUAACAAAUCAUGGACUCAAAAAAGUCCAACGAUAAUAAUUUGAGUUCAAGGUUAUCUUAAUUUUAGAUUUAAGAAUCAUGUGAUGAUAAAAACAUUAAAUUAAUUUGAAAUUACGAAUCAAAAACAUGGGCAUGAGAUUUUGAAAAUAGUUUGAAAGUGCUGUGUAUGCUGUUACUCUUGCUUUUAUCCAAACAAAAUACAAUAAAUAAAUUAUAUAUUAAAGGUUUCAUGAAUUUAUUCAACUAAUCCAAUUUUACCAAUAAUUUAACUUCAUAUUUAUUAAAAUUUUCAGAUUUAUUUUGUUUUUUUUUUAAAUAAUACAGUGCUAAAAAUGUUAUUCCUUCCCUUUCUAAUAUUAAAUCCUUUGAAAAUUAAUCAAAAUACAUUCCUAUACAUUUAAUGUUUGUUUAUUUGUUUGUUUGUUUUUUUUGUUUUUUUUGUUUUUGUUUUUGUUUUUUUUUUUUUUUCCUUCAAAUUUAAAUGUUAAAGUAUUGUCAAAGUAUUUUGGAGGUUUUUUGCUUCAAAAUAUUUUACCAAAUUUUGCAGUCAAAGUAAUCUGAAGACUAGAAAUAAUUGAUAUUACAAAUAUUUAAUUAGAAUAGGAGCAUUACAAUGCAAAAAAUCAUGUAUAAGCUAUAUUUCAUUAAAAAAAGAUGACUUUGAAUAUUUACAAAUUCAUUAUUUGCUAUUUUAUAAAAAAUUCUCCUAAUGAAUGUACUGUAAAUAAAAAGUGUAAAAUAAUUUAGAUGCGAGAUUUAUUAGUUAUGUAUAUAUAUAUAUAUAUAUAUAUAUAUAUAACAUAAUAAUAAGUUUGCAAUAACUUUUUUGAAUAAUGAUUACAAGCUAUCAUAAAAGGAUUCUGUAAUUAAAAAUUGAACCAACAAUCGUUCUAUAAUUCUAAAAAUAUCAAUUUUUACAAGAUUGGUUAUUUUGAUCAUAUUAUAUUGUAAUGAACUUAAUUUGACACUAUACUUUAUUUUUCUGAGCAUGAAAUCAAAUUGUGUACUAUUUGUAGCUUUUUGGUAGCAAUACUUUUGUUACUUUGUGGAAUCGUCACAUUUAUUUUGAAGCCUACUAUUACUACUAGCAAACAAAGACUCUGAAAAAUUGUUUUAGGUUUUAAUUCGAUCCAAAUAUUUAAUACAAGAAAUAACUAAUGUUGUGAUUAUAUUACAGAGAUAGAUAUUAAUUAGUUACGAACACCAAGAGUAAUUUACAAAUGUGGGAAUAUUCUUAGAAAACCUGAAAAGCUAUAAUACUCCUACAGAAGCAAUAAAAAAUAUUCAUUAGUGCACUAAUUAAAAAUGGAUAAAAUAAUUUAAUGUCAUUCAUGCACCACAUUUUUUUUUUAUUAUUUGUUCAACUCAAUCACCAUAUUUAUUACUCUUUUUUUGAGCAAAAUGACUUUGAUGAUUUGAUCAAAUUUUAAAUCUUUCCUGUUAUUUUUUUAGUUUGUAUGGAGCAAAACAAUUAUGGGUACUCUUAGUUUUGACAAAAUAAAAGGACUAAUUUACCUAAUUCUUCGACAUUUUCUUAAGUAUAAAAUUUAAUAAACUCAUUUUCUAAAAUAGUUUAUUCUUAAUCAAAGUGAAAUCAAACGUGCUCAGGAUUUCACUUGAUUCUAAAUUUUAUAAAUGCACUGUAUGUAUUUGUAGUUCUAUAAUAUGUAUCUAUGCAUUCGAAUUAACAUUUACUACUUACUUAAAAAAAUUGGGUAAGGGAUACUUUGAACAUCACAGUUUAUUUUUCUUAAGAUCAAUGUAAUCAAAGGUCAUAAGAAUAACUGAUUAUACUUAUUCAAACAUUCUUGUUACAAAUAAUGAAUUUAUAAAUUAUAUCAAACUUAAGUUUAAUAGAAAUAACACUUGGAUUGAUAUUGUGAAGGGGAUUUAGAGACAAAAUAUUUGUUCAACUAUUUUUUUGUAAUCUUAUGUAAAUUUUAAUCUUGCAGAAGUAAUUGCAUUUUGAAUUGCAAAAAAGUAAAAAGUAAGAAAUAAAAAGUAAACAAUGUGAUACAUUGAAAUUAGUGUUAAACAGAACUUAAGAUUCUGUUGCUAAUAAUCUGUGAAAGGAGUUCCAAUAAAGUAAAUUAAGAUGUUUCUAUAUCAAGUAAAAACAAAUAUAUGAUAAAUUACGAAGUUAAUACAAAAGGCGUGUAUAUAUAUAUAUAUAUAUAUAUAUAUAUAUAUAUAUUUAAAAAUAAUUAUUCGAUAUUUUACUAUUUAUUGAAUAAACAACCCAUAUUAAAAUAGAUGUAAAUAUUUGUUUUUCAAUAAAAUAACUCUGAAUUUGAAAUGAUUCUUAAUAUCUUCAUAUUGUAUUAUUAAAAAAAUUGCACCAUUAUGUAUUUACAUUUAUAUGAUCAUUAUUUAUCUUUCAUGCUGCACAUAUAUUGCUAAAAAGAAUGGAGUUAUUUCAGUUCAAUUUUUACCAUAUAUAUACCAAUUAAAGACAUUCAAAGAUUAAUUUAAGGUGACUCUCAAUUUUUGGUGAUAAUAUCAUUGUUGUUGUUUGUUUGUUUGUUUGUUAUUUUCUUCAUUUAAGUUUCAUCUUAUAGUUUAUUAUUUAUAUAAAAAAAAUAUAAAAAAGUCACCAAAACUCAGUUCUUACUCAUUACUUAAGAUGUGAUAAAAUUUUAACAAUUUAUUUCUUUAUUUCCAGUAUUAAAUUUUAUAUUGUGACACUUUUUACAAUGACUUUACCCUCUGCAGAAGUAAUAUUUAAUCCUUGAAAACCUUCAACAAAGUAUAGUAUUUGAUUGUUUAAAAGGAUAGACGUAGAUGCUAUUUUUGUGCUGUUUUUUUAGAUCUUGUGUACAAAUUAAUUCAAUUUUUGAAGUGUUAUGUCUAAUGUCAUGAAGGCCAAAUCUGGUGAUUGUAGUUAUUUGUAAGAGUAAUAAGUUUUAUUCAGCAGAAAAAAGUGAUAUAAUUUGUUAUUCAUUUGCUUGUCAGCAAAACAAAUGAAUAUUUUAAUACCAAAUAAUAAGACAGACAAUUAUGGGUAAAUUUUAGUAAAAACGGCCUUUUAUGUAAUGAAAAACACAAGAAUAAUUAGAUUGGACUUAGUCAAUUUCAAAUCAUCAGACACCUUCUUGUGAAGAAAUGUAGACUAAAAAUAAUCGGUUUUCAGAUGAUGCGGAUACAAUAAGAAAAAAACAAAAACAAGUCUUUUUAAUCUUUAGACAAUAUCUUCGAUUUUUGCGUAAGCCAAUUUGAAAUGUUCUAAUAAAAGAAUCCCAUAGUUUUGAAUGAUCCAGUUGCUUAAGAAGCCACAUGCCUAAAAACAUGUUGCAAUGCAAUUUAUUGGGAUUUGUAGUGUUACUACUCCAUGUGUCUAAAGAGAUGUUGUGAAUAUGUUUUAUAAGUUAAAAUUUAUUGAAACGAUUAUUUAAUACAUGAUUAAAAAAAUCAUCAAAUGCAUUAAAAUUUUGAUGUAAAAGUUGGAAUCUGAACAAAGAAUGAUCAUUUUUGUAUGCAAAAUUAACAUAAACUGUUAAAAACCUCAUAUUAAUUAGAAUAGCUUGACAUGUGUGAGUUACAGAAUUGUUGUCACAAAGUUCUAGAAAUAUUAUUGUUAAGUUUUAAAAAACGUGCCACUCUUUUGAAAUACUUUAUUUUGCAUAUUUUUUAAUAUCAGCGCUACUUUAUCAAAAUGCUUGAAUUUUUAUGAAAUUAUAAAUUAUAAUAUUGGAUACAUUUUUGUUUACCUAUUUACUCAUGAAAUAUAUGUUUUUGUUUGUGAUACAUCCAAAAUAUUAACAAAAUAAUGUAAUAUUUAUUUUAAAUAUGUAAACAUUCAUUUUUGAAGCAACAAAUUGUGUAUUUUAAAUAUAUAUAUAUAUAUAUAUAUAUAUAUAUAAAAUGAAAAGGGAACAAAAUUGCAGGUUCUACAAACGCAUGCCAUGUUGAAUGAAACGGCCUCGAAGACGUCGAAGAAACGAGGCCUCUUACUCUGCAACGGCUCACUCACUCACUCGCCUGCUUCGAAGGAGGAGGAGGAAGAGGAAGAGGAAGAGAAGGAAUCGCAGGUUGGGGAAGUAGAAUCCGGCGCCGAGGGAGACAUGGAAGAGGAAUCGUGUCAUUGUGUAUUUGUGUGUGUAUGAAUGAGAGAGCACAGACACACUACCACUCUUGAAGGUCUUUUCAAUCUGAUUUCGGACACCUUACGCAGCAGCAUGCGACACAGCCCCGAAGGUGCAACAAGAAGCACCGCACAGUACUACACUACAGCCAUUUCUGACCCGCUGUGGAUGGGAACGCCUAGCUCGAAUUUAGAAAGACCGGAAGCCAGUAAUUCUUGUCAUCCAGAUUUGGUCGCUGCCCCCACACAUCCAAUCUGCCAGGACCAUGCAUCGAAAGUGUCACUUGGUCAGCAUCGUGACCACCGUUUGCGCGGAAACGACGACGCGAAACUUCGAGCACAUGGAGACCCGAGCGCCGGGCGCAAGGGCGUUGGUAGUGUCAGCAGCUACAGCCAAAAUCCAUUUCGAAAAACAGAUGCGGAAUAGAUCUGGCGCCACCCAGUGGAACCCCUUGGCUGGCUAAACUUGCUCCCUUUUUUUCUUUUUUUCUUUUUCUUUUUUCUUUUCUUUUCCAUCCCCGCGCAUCAGCCACAGGGGACUCACUCGCGCGCGUUUUCCGCACCGCGGAAUUAUCCCCCGUGCCUCGUCCGCCGAUCGAAAUCCCUCCCGUAAUUUGUACCACGGGCCGUGAAUACCUCCCCAAGACAAGAGAACGAGAGAAACACUGUCGAUCCAAAUGUCGUUCAUCGGUCGGCCGAUCCGAGAAUCUUCUGGAAGAUUUCAAACACGGGGAUUGUAAUAGCAGACGACUGGCUAAAACUCGAGAGACCCAGGUGUAGGAAACAGUGGAAAUCUGCUCUGCGAGCACCAUAGCCAAGAAUAGGCUACAAAGGAGAAACGUAUGUCGCAGAGGGAGUACUAAACUGGGCUAGAAACUGGGUUGGCAAAAGACGUCCGCGACGGUUUCUGCGGAGGAAGAGUUGAAAAGCGGUAGGAUGAACAGACUGCGAUGAAUGAGGGACGCAGUGAGCGAGAGAGUGAGGGACGAAACGAAACGUGAGGAAGUUGGGAUCGGUGAGGACUCCACAGUUGCUAACCCAACAAGAGGAGUGAAUCGCCACGCGCAAUGAGCGGCGGAGGGCACUUACUUGCGCGGCUCGGCGCUGGGUGAACGAGCGAUUGGUUCAGAGAGUCGUGGCAUUGGUCAGACCUAAGGCCUUUCUCUUCCACCCUCCCCUCCACCCUCGCUUUGUGCCUGCAUCGCGUCGUCCCCCCGCUGCAGUCUCUAUUCUCUGCCAGACACCUUGCAGUCUUGCACGUCACCCACCUUCUUCCCCUUUCCUACCCUUUCCUAUUUCCCUACUUGUGCAGGCUGCAGCAACAGCCGAGCCUUCCAGCUCCUGUGCGCUCCUCCAGACGCGGAGAGCUCUCGGGAGCUCUGGCCUUCUCGCCCUGGGGUGGCAUCAGAUCAUAGCCUGGUAGGAGCCCCAACCGAACCUUUGGUUAGGCAAUGCACGUCGUCCUCGACGUUGGGUUUGUAUUGGUUGGUCUGCUGGACAUGAAGGGGCUGUCUAUGUGACGCCUUGUUGGAGGGUUGCUGAGGUAUGAAGUUGUUGGUUCGGUCGCGGUGGUUUGUUUACUGUUGCUCUUGUGUUGCAGACGUGUAGAGAGCGGUGGCGUGGUGGUUUGGUUUCAGUGUACUGGUUAAUCACAUACAGAGCUGGUGAGCUUGUGCAUCACUGGAGAUAGAGAAAGAAGGGAUCUUGCAUUAGUAUCAAAGCAGUAGAUGACAAGGUUGUAGGUCGCUGCAUUGGCGGAAAAAAGAGAAAGAGAAGCAUGAAUGGGAAGUGACGGCAAUGUGGAGGAAGUUCUCGAAGUGGAGUGGGAGGGUGGAGAUGAAGAUCUAACGGCACUGUUGUGCAGUGACAUACUAGUCGCAAGUCACAGAUAGGUGUUAUUGGAAGCAUUAGUGGACCACAGGUGUCUGGAGCCUCGGCACGCCUUUGGGUUUCUAUUGAGUUGCAGUGUGGUGCAUGGCAGUGUGGAAAGCAGGCGCGUCGACCUGCUUUCAGCUUGGCGGAAUGGGGACUAGUAUGAAGAUCUUAUUGAUGGCAUCUGUAUUUGUAUCUCUUCUCGCGGCUGUUUCGGCCACUGGUAUGUCUCUCUCUGGCAUCCUGAACUACUUCCCGUUCAUCAGGCUUAAGUCUUGCUCGACUUGCCUGUGUCAAGGUUAUCCCUACUUAAUGAAAGUAAUCGAUGUUUCCUUUUUGGAGACUCUGAAAGCAUGGUGUAAUCACUGUACGUCAAAGUCUGAUUUGAGGUUAAUCUGGACUAGGUUCGUGUGAAGUGGGUUGGACCUAGAUUAUUGCAGUGUCGGCAUGUUUGGUUACGCAUAGUUGGUUCGAGCAUUGAGGUAAUGCCAAGCAGGUCUUUUCCCUUUUCUCGUAUAAUUUGGGGACACAGAUAGGAAUUCCCUGCGUUUUAUAAGUUUAGGUCUUCAUGUUCUAAUUUGGCACAACAGGCCCGCAUGGGAUAGCAUACCACCCUUACAUGUGUUCCCUUGACCAGAUGCUCCUGUUCAUCUCAUGCUUGCUCAUGAUGGCUCAUCGUUGUCUGAGACGUGUGAUAAGCGCUUUCACUAUGCAUUUUUCCGUAACUUUUUGCCUUUUACUUGCCGACUAUUUCGGCGAACUUCUUUUAAGUAUGAGAUCUGAUUGCAGUCUGAAGUUCUGAAAUAGAAAGCGCUCUAGACGCAUCACAUGGAUGUUGAGUUCCACGUGUUUGCAACUUGUAUAAUCGUGGUAACAUAUUCUACUUCUAUUGUGGAUUCUGCAGUCAAGUCCGUUAUAGACUGUUGUUCCUAUUCUUAUUUCAUUCGGACCUGAUGUCGUAUUCGAUUGUUCCGUGAUUGAUCUUUGGAUUGUGUUCGCUUUCAUGUAUGAUAACAUAUUUGAGAUGUGGUUAUAACUCAUGCUUGCUUUCUGAGGACAGAUGAGAAUCCUUUCUUUGGUAAUCGUCCCAUUGGAAACCAUCCACCAGGUGUGGGUCACCAUCCUCCCGGAGUUGGUCGUCACGGUCCCGCGUGGAGUAAGUGGAGAGCCUACAUCGCUCUCCAGGCAUGGAAGAAGGCAAUCGUCGAUGAUCCCAAUGGUAUCCUCGAUACAUGGGUUGGGAAAGACGUAUGCGAGUACAAAGGAGUUUUCUGUUCCCCUCCCGAGGAUCCAAAUCUCUCUUAUCUGGAGGUGGUCUCUGGAAUAGAUCUGAACGAAGCCGACUUAAAGGGUCCUUUGGUGCCUGAGCUCGGAUUGCUUCGCGAGAUUGGACUGUUCCACUUGAACAGCAAUCGGUUCUACGGAACCGUCCCCGAUUCAUUCAGGUACAUGAAGACCCUGUUCGAGCUCGAUCUCAGCAACAACCAUCUCACCGGAGAGUUUCCUCAGGUGCUUCUGGACAUCCCCCUUCUGGAAUAUUUGGACAUCCGUUUCAACAAGUUCUACGGCAAGUUGCCGAGGGAGCUUUUCUCAAAGCGUCUUGAUGCUCUGUUUGUGAACAACAACAACUUCAACGGCGAGAUUCCCGACAAUCUUGGAGAGUCUACAGUCUCUGCUUUAGUUCUCGCCAACAACUACUUGCACGGGAGCAUCCCCAAAUCCAUUGGAGACAUGAAGAACUUAAAUGAGAUUGUCGCUCUGAAUAACGACAUCGAUGGUCAACUUCCUGAUAACAUUGGUAACCUCAAGAAUGUCACCCUAUUCGACUACAGCGACAACCAUAUCACAGGAGGAUUGCCGAAGAGCAUCAAGGGCAUGUCCAGUCUAGAGACUUUUGAUAUGAGCAAGAACAAGCUGGGUGGCAUUGUCACGGCCGAGCUUUGUGAAUUGGACAAUAUCAGCGCCAUCAACUUGGACAAUAACUACUUCACUGGUGUUGCUCCUUCUUGUGCUGCCCUAGGCGAUAUCUUGUCUCUCGACGGAAACUGUGUUCCUGGUUCUCAAGGACAGAAGGACGCAGCCACAUGCGCAGCAUUCUACUCCCCUCCAUCUGGUGGAACUCCUAACCCAACUCCUCCAUCCCCUGUUACACCCUCUCCUCCUCCACCCUCACCAUCUCCUCCUCCCCCCUCACCAUCACCUCCUCCUCCUACUCCUGUUACGCCCCCUCCACCUCACCCUGAGCCAGAGUGUCCAGAGGGUUACGCGCCUGGAUACAAGUCUGGCACCUGUUUCAUGAUAGUAAAGGAGCCAAAGACCUGGUCUCAAGCCGAGUCUUACUGCCGCGAGCAUUCUGAUGGUAACUUGGCAGCGGCUGCUGAUUGGGCGGAGCUUGAGGAUCUUGGUGUCCUCUGCUUCAAGUCGAAUGUAACAGUAUUUGGCGAUGCAAGUAACCCUCUGGGUCUUGGUUGCUUCUUGGGCGGGCGGAGGCCGUACUCACUCAAUCCCGCAACCAAGGGUUGGAACUACCCCUUGUCUCCCUGCGUUGAAUUCAACCAAACUUGGUGGAACUACGGUGAGCCCAACAACCUGGGAGGAUACGAGGGCUGCCUCACUGUUAAGUUCGAGUCUGAGGAGCAGGCGAGAAACCCUGCUAAGCUUCCAUACAUGCUGAACGACCUGAGUUGCGACGUCCGGCUGCCGUUCAUCUGCGCAUUGACUAGGUGCGAGGAUGUGGGAUGCGAUUUGCCUGAGACUUGCAAGACCUUCGGUGACAAGCAAGCUAAAUGUUAUUCGGACCACAGGAACUCGGUGGGCUACGGCUGCGACUGCAGUGCCGGGUACUAUCCAGAUGGCUCUGGAGCAUGUGUCCCUCGUAGCUCAUAAUUCAUCAGGGCUUGUGCUUUCUUUCGGACGUGAUGUGGUUCAGAUGCCGUAGAUAACGCUGCAGUGCAGGUGGAAUGGACCAGUUGGGCGACUUGGAUUAGCAGCAGGUAGUGUAUGUGGAGAAAAUUGCUAGGGAUUAGACAGAUCUUGGAUGGUUUAUGAUAAUGGCUGUCGGAAGGUGGAGUGAUGACAUCUCGGUGAGUGUUGCAUCAUCUCUCUCCUCCCAAGUGGCAACUAGACAACAGGCAAUCAAAGAUUGCUGAUUAGGUGGCCUUGGGUGCAUUUACUCGUCCCACUGCCCUCCUUGCAGGUUAGGACAGAAUGUCUUCGAUGAGGAAAGGGUUUUGGUUAGAUCGGGCAUUUGUCGAUUUCUAUCCAUUUAACUGCUAUGCCAGAUACUUAUUAGGCGGUGGGAUCUAGGAGGGUGGAAGAGCUCUGUGCACUUCAUUGUGCUGGGCCUCUGGGUUUUUCUGAGUUACCCCUCUGCCGAUUCUUUGACAGUGAAUAGUUUAUUCAUUUAGAGUGAGCUUUCUUAUUUUUUUUUUUCUUUUGUAAAAAUGUGGUGUAACGUUGUGCUUGAGCCUACACUUCAUUUGUUCGCUUUAUCUCUUGUCACCUCAUUAUGUAGUUCUUCAAUAAGACCUCAGUGACCAUGUUUACCACUUUUUACUUCGCCACAUUAUCUUUCGACUGUUCGUAUUGUUUGUAUUAUGAAUACAUAUAAUUACUUGUUUUGCACUCUAAUUUCUUCCACGUCAGUCUCUUGCCGCCACGAUUCCCCGCAUGCUCUCUGUCAUGGAUGUCAUGAAGCAUAUUAUUCCAGGUGAAUGUUUCAGGUACUUCAUUGUCUCAUGCGUUUGUAUGCAAUCGUCACAGUAUCUGCAAAUGAGUUUGACAAGAUUCAAAUGUCUCCAAGUCGAAAUGAUAAGACUCUGGAUCUUUUCUGUUCGCUCCAGAGCGAGUCAUUGAAUGACCGUUAAGCUGACCGGUCUGCACUGUCUGGAACUAUCUAGAGUGACCAGAUGUGAUUAAAGAACAAUCCUUAGCUGAAGAACCGUUACUUCGGUAGUAAAGAAACGAUGAUCUUGUCGUUGAAACUGCAUUUUCAAAUACGUAAACGAACAAAUAGAAUCGUAUGAGGAGCCUUGUACCUACCAUGGCAAUCUUCCAAUAUUAAAUUGCAUCCUUUCUAACUUUCAAUCGAAACCCUAAGAAACUUCAACACUUGAUCAAGUUUCUACAUUAACAAUAGCCGAGGUCCAUUCAUUGAAACAAAAAGAGAACCAACUUACAAACCAUAAAUCCCACUACUUUUUCAACAACUGGAUUUAACAAAAAAUCCAGUAAAAAAAGCUGCAAAAGUUUACAAAACACCGAUUUAUUGGCCUCCCACAGCUCAGCAACGCCAUGCCAACGCUCAUCGGAUGAAUGAUAUUCACACAAGACGAUAAAACGUUCAUCCAUGAAGUGGAGCUCGACGAAUGUCGUCCAUGUGGUGGAUGAGUGAGACUUCAUCCGAUAAAUUCUGUUCUGACACGUCAGCAGAAAGAGGGAAGGGACGGAGAAGGUGAGGAUGGGGGGACCUUCUAGGAAAUUCCGCCUUCCGAGGUAGACAGAGAGAGCUAUUAUCUCUAGCUUCUGAGCACUGGCCAUCUGCCAGAAAGGGGCAUCAACAAGUGCCUCGAAUCCAAUCGUUGUUUGUUGUAAUUGUUGUUAUUUGUUGUUGCCGUGUUUUGCUCCUCCGAAAUCCGACGUACCCAACUUCUUCGCCUCGUCGUUACCUUCGUAUAGAACCAUUAUUCUUCAGUCAAUUGCUGUGAAGGGGCGGCGGAUACGCGAGAGCAGUUUUGGGGCUCUCCUCCUGGUUGCUUGCUUGCUUCUACACGAGGUGCUGCUGCUGUUGCUGAAUUUUACAUACAAUCACCAUGUUUGGCAGGUUGUUUGGCAAGCCCAAGGAGGAGGUCUCCACUCUUUCCACACUGGACAAGCUCAAUGAGGUGAGAGAGAGAUGGACCGAUGUUUGUGAUGUGGUGUAGCCUUGUGUGCUCGGAAUCGUGAAUUUUAAGUGUGGGUUUUAGAGUUGGCUUGGAGACGGGAGUGUGGGUGGGUAGUGUGUGUGUAGGGGGCUCUGGUAUUGCUGGGGUUGGGGUAGAUCGUGGGGGUGUAAUGGGUUUGAGACGGCUGAAAGAUUGCUGGCUUGAUGGCGACGACAGACCCUGGAGAUGCUAGAGAAAAAGGAGAAAGUCUUGCAGAAAAAGAUAGCUAUGGAGAUUGAGAAAGCUAAGGAAUUCACGAGAUUGAAGAAUAAGAGAGGUGAGCAGUUGGGUUUGUGCUGUGUGUCUGACGUUGGGGAUAUUUUCGUUUGGGUUGCAUGAUAAUUUAGGGUUGUUUCAAACGAAGGGACGUGAGUUCAAACGCUUAGGUUUGCUGAUGAGCGCUGUGUUUGUGAUGGGUUUGACAGCUGCGAUUCAGUGUCUAAAACGGAAGAAGUUGUAUGAAGUCCAAGUAGAGCAACUCGGUAACUUCCAAUUGCGUAUUCACGAUCAGGUCUGAUCCUCCGCCCUCUCCCCGUUCAUUUCACAAUGUUGAAUCUGGAGUACAUGCUGAGAAUUGAAAUUUGAUGAUUGAAUACCGUCAAAUUGCUUCAGAAAUUCCGCAAUUUCAGACCAAAUAGUGUCUAUUCAAUUCUUCGUUCAUCUGUAGUUACCAUCUCGCGUCAAAUUUUUGUGCAGAUGAUUAUGUUAGAGGGUGCUAAAGCAACUACAGAAACUGUGGACGCCCUACGUAGUGGUGCCGCAGCUAUGAAGGCGAUCCAGAAAGCCACGUACGUGCUUGUCCUUUUACCUCAGCUGUCUCUUUUGUCACUUCGCGUUUUUCGUUGUUCUUCGAGUUUGUUUCAAAAGAGAAUUCUAUUGUCGAUUGUGGUUAACAAUGAUCAUGCCUCAUGAGUCGUUGGAAACCUCUCGAGUCAAUUCAUGUCAGUGACUUUUUGUUGCACUCAUUUUACUUGCUCGGGCUAGAGUGUGCACAUUUGCUUGGUCCAACAUGAGCAGCUGUGGCGGCCAUCUGUAAUUUUUUUUCUCUGUGAAUAUGUGAACCGUGGACCCUAAUUUGCUAAUAUCGUGUCCCACAGAAAUAUUGAUGAUGUAGACAAGACCAUGGAUGAGAUUAAUGAGCAGACCGAGAACAUGAAGCAGAUUCAAGAGGCACUCUCAGCUCCUAUUGGAGCAGCGGCUGAUAUUGACGAGGUGAAAUCCAACUUCCAAUUAUGGGUUUCUUUGCUGGUGGUGGCAUCUCGGAAGAGAUGCUAUUCAGCAGAAAUACUGACACCAAUAAGCUCAUUAGAAUUGAAUUGUUUCCCUUCUCUUUUUAGCAAAUGGGAAGAGGAACAAAUUGAAUUCAAAAACUAGUUGGUGCCAGCGUGAGUUGAUAUAAUAUCAAAUAUUCAUAAUACCUUUUCUUUUGUAAACACAUUAAGAAUUAGUUGGAUUGAUCAUUGUUGAUAGACUUACGUGCACCAAGUCGCUUUACUCUUGGCUUUUGCAUAGAAUGGAUUGCCCUCAUGUUCUAAAUUUGGUUUAUAUCUCAGAUAUUAGUUUAAGCGAUUUUACAUGGAAUGUUAUACAGUUUGUGAGACCGUAACGGAACGGCCUUGGAUACCAGCUCACUUAGUUGUGGUCAAUGCUUUGCAGGACGAGUUGGAAGCCGAGCUUGAGGACCUUGAAGGAGCCGAGUUAGAAGAACAAUUAAUUAAUCCAUCUGCCCAGGAGCUCCCACAAGCAUACCGGCCUAAUCCAGUUCCUGCUCAGAAACCCAAACCAACUCAGGUUAAGGAAGAGGAAGACGAACUUGCAGCUCUUCAAGCUGAAAUGGCUCUUUAGAGACUUGACGCCUCCAAUUGCUGCUUGAAUCUGAAUUUUUAUGAUCACAUCAGGUCAGGCUUCUAUCCGCUUUCGCUUCAGGUUUGUCCCAACUUGAUACCCAAGGGCAUUGUCGCUACAACGAAUAUACCGAUAACUGAAAAUCACAAUGAGAACCGACUCGUUUUCCAGAAUUCUGGAUGCUGGGCCGGGUGGUACUUGACACCGAUGAUGGAUUUUAGCCUCAGCACUUCUUCAGUCGUUUGGAAUGGUGAAAUAACUCUUAGAAAUUAACUCAAAUCUCGGCAUGCCCUGUAGAGAAAUAGUUUAACUAUCAAGAAUUUGGCAUGGAUUUCUCUUCUCCUUUGCGCCUCAUGAGAUCAGCAAUUGGGUCGCUACUGAUUGCUUGUCCUCCUGUUGCUGCUUGUGUAUUACUGUAACUCCUACCUUCUUCAUAUUAUUUUUUAAAGCUACCUUGACAUAUACCAUGCGCACAGGUUACAGCAAUUUACUACAGGAUCUAGUGAAACGUUAGCAUUACUACCAAAGUGAUCCUGCUGAUUGUACUCCAAUGUGAGGAUUGUAUUACCAAAACAUUAGUUUUUAAAACCAUGACGAUGACGCUUGUAUUUUCGUUUGUUUUUUUAGCAUUUUUUGAGACUUGUUGAAGCACUUGCAUCUCUGGAUCUGUCUUGUGCAACUGUUAAGCAAUUGGAGUUAUCAACUUAUUUCUUCUAGUUGUGAUCAUUUGCUGUUCUUCUGAAAGUUAACAAUACAUCAUGAGAAGUGUUGAAAGCACACAUUUAAUGAAGGGGAUUGAUUGAGAUGAUUAUUGAUCAGAAAAUUAAAGACCACAAAAGUAAAGAAAAAAAAUGGGGUUGCAGCAAGUUAGUGGUUCCGAAUUGUCAACUACACACUACAAUGUAAUGACUUUUGAAAGUCCACAACAAACAUGUAAUGUGUUUUCUUACACCUUAAUUGUGGGGAAAUAAUAACAAAUAUAAUUUUAAAAAUUAUUUCAUCAUCUCAUCAUAUUCAAUCUAAUUUGAUUGUAUUGUUUGACUAUUUCAAAGUUUUAUUUGCUUUUGAUGUAAGUUCAACAUGUUCUCAAAAAUUGUGCUAAAUUUAGAUUUGUGUAUGUAUAAAUCCUUCUAAUUUAGGACAUUUUGCUAUUUGGGCUAUGGUAAGUUUAAUAUAGGACACAACUAAAUGUAAGUGGAGUAGGUUUUAAAAUGUGUACAUGCUAGAGUAUUUAAAGUGCAAUAACUACUUUGACAUCUUAUAGAUGUCUUCUUAUAAUUGCAAUUAUAAGGUGGCAAAAAAUCUUAAUAUGACAAAUGUCAUAGAUUAAAUUGAAUUGUCUUAAAUUAAAAGGACAUAUGCAUGUAUAAAAUUGCUAAACAUACAUAAAAAAAAAAUUAAUCAAUGUUAUCAUUCACAAUUUAAAAAGCAUUUCUAUUGGAAUUCUAAAGAUUAUAUCAAGUUGAUGAUAAGAAUAAAUUCAUACAUCAAAUAUUACACAAGAUUUUUUUUUUUAUUAUUAUUUUUUAAUUUUAUUUCUUUCUUUACAUUUUUAUAAUGUAAUUAUAUUGAUCAUAUUAAGAUUUGUAUUUUAUACUUUUUGAAAUAAAAUUAGUGCAUAAUUAUACUUUUACAUGCAAAACUAAUAUAUAUCAAAAAUCACAAUUAAUAUGUAUAUAAUUUAUAAUUUUUUUUAACUUAACUUGAAUUAGUUUAAGUAUAAUUGUUGUUUAAUUCAACUUCUUAUGCUUCUCAAUCUUAACCUUUAACUUUAAUAAAAUCAUUAAAUUCAUUAAAUAAAAAAUAAAUAAAUGAAGCUUAUUUAUAAACUAAUAAUCUAAUUUUAAUUUUAAUCAAUAAUAUGAAGAAUAAAAAAUAAUUAAAAAUUUAUCCCAAAUACAACUUAAUAGACUAUACAAAGUUAAUGAUUUAUUUUAAUUUUUUUUAUUAUUAUAAAUAUGGUUAUGUUUGUUUUGGAAUAGAUAUAUAAUAGAUAUUAGAACAUCAUGACAUGUGAAAAAUCACAAUAUUAAACAAAAUUAUUUGGACCAAUCUUUGUAAAAGAUAUUAGGAGAAUUUUGACACUUCUAUAAUUGUAAAAAUGCUUAAAGGAAAGACAAAGAACCAAGAAUUUCUUAAAAUUAGUUACAUGUGCACAAUAGCAAAAUGCAAAUAUUUUGCUAUUAUCUUUGGUUGAGGCAUAAUUGAAAGAAAUAAAAAAAUAAAAAAUACAGAAUAGAUGGGAGAAUUAAUCUUUGUUGUUGUUUAACAAAUAAAUAUUUCUUGUGAGAAUCUAUAGAGAGAUAUGUCCUUCAAUCCAAAAUUCUUUAAAAAUACAAUAAAAGUAAAGAUCUAUUUAAUCAAACUACUAUAACACCUUCUAAUGAUAGACUUAAGCAUGUUAUCUCAUGAUGCCAAGAGUGAACUCCAAGCAAAGACAAAUAAAAGUGGCUCUUUGUAGUUUAGCACAAGUUUAAACUAGAAUUCUUUGAUGAACUUUUUCAAAAGCUUCAGUAAGAGAGCUUGUCCUACAUUCUUCUGUGUACUACUAUGAUAUUUAUAUGCACUCAAAUUCCUCCAAAAACCAUUAAAAGUAGUGAAACCAUUUUGUCCUUGUAGAUUUAACUUCAAAUUGAAGUGAGGCAAAUUUGCAUUCAUCUAUAUUUAUAUUGCAAAUAUCCAUGUGGAUAUAUAAUAGAAAUUCAUUCAGAAUUUGUCGCAAUUUCUCAGCAAUCGUUUGUAGCAGUUGAAGCCAACGUGGUGAUUUCGGUACUAAAUUUGCUUGAUUCGACGGAAUGAUCACGAUCUUUCGUCUCGAGCACGAAACGUAUGGGGCGUCGCUGGCGAUGUGGAGGAUGAACUGAAGUCCAACUUGCGGAAUGUAGUGGUCGUGCGUCGAUAGAAUCAGUGAACGGUACAUUUGAUUCAGUUGCCACAGCCGCGCAUUCCCUCGAUUCCACCGAUUCUUGCUGCUCACGAUAUAGUCGUGGUAAAUGAAGCAUCCAUUGAUAUGGGGUUUGACUUGAUUAGAAACCCUUCACGUCUGAUCCACCAUCUCAAACCCAACUUUCUUUCUGGCAGAGAAAUCAGUUUGGCUUCAAAAUCCGACGUCUUCUGUGAACAACUGCCUCGAAGAACUCGUUUUUGAGACGAAUUCGUCGUCAGGUUGCUCGAUUCAAGUGGUGGAGAUUAGAGAAACGACGAGAUGGCCCGGUUCGAUUGAGCUUCUUCACGUUGAUCUUCACUGUCAGUGUGGACGCAAAGAGAUCGAUUCUGGGUCCUAGUUCCAGAUCUGCUGCGGCUGUGCGACCACUGCUCCUGGUCGCAAAGGAUCGAACAGAACGAGACCCAUCUGCAGAAUCACGUUGUGGGUGCAGAUCGUUGGGUCCCGGAGUCUCGCGGUGCCGACACCGUGUCGAAUGCCUGCAUCUUGUCGUCACCCUUUUCUCCGUCUUGUGAGUUCGGUGGAGGACAUCCCUUUUUAUUGAACAUACCGAAGUGCAAAAAAAUGUCCCAUGACUUGCUUGUUAAUUAUGGUAGAAUCGGUUUCAUUUAUUCAAAAAAUACACACUAAAUAGGUAGUUGAUUACUUCAAAUAACACAAGAAGCAAGAAAAUAUUGAAGGUUAGGGAUUUUGAGGGUUGGAUGGACGGGUUUGAUUGUAAAAGGUUCACGAUAGUCCAUUGAUUUUAUGCAUGUUUGUGGAAGUAUUUGCCAUUGAAUUGAAGAAUAGUUUAGAUUUGAAGAUUCUUAGUUUAAAAUUUUGAUGAUUAAUAUUUACCUCUAUUGAGUUAUUAUUUGUUAGAUUAUAACCUCUUUAAAGUUAUGAAAAAAUAAUAGAAUCCACAUGAUUCUAUAGUGAUAAAUUAUCUCUUGCUAAGUUAUAACCUCCCACAAGUUCUACUUUAGUGAGUUAAUAUUGUAUAUAUAUAUAUAUAUAUAUUCAAUCUUGGUCUUACUAAAACCAUCUCUUAUCAUAUUGUGGAAUAUAACAAAUUUACUGUGAAAAUCAUUUUGGCACCUACAAUCAUAAAAAUAUUUAUACAAUUUUUUUGAAACAAACAAAAAAUUUGUUUUCAAAACUCUAGAAUUAAUAGUUUACAUUUGUAGAAAUUAAAACUUGAUUUUGAUUAAAAGUAAUCCAAACAUCUUGUUUUAGAAAAUAAAUAGAAACAACUAAAAAUAAUUGAAUACUUACAAGAUACAUUUGUGUAUGUUAAUUUCUAUUUUUUCGCUUUUAUGUGCUUUUAUGUUCUUAUAUUUUUCUAUUUUUUUAAGACAUAUGUCCAUUUUCUUCCCAAUCUAUUUUAUUUUUUUAUCAUUUAUAAUUUAUAACUUUGAUAAGUACAAUAAUAAACUCUAACUCCAUGUUAUUCACAAAACCAAAUUACCAAUAUAUAUAUAUAUAUAUAUAUAUAUAUAGGAGAAUUUUAAAUAGACUCAAAUUUUUAUUAAAUCAACCCAAUGAAGCUGAAGAAUAUGGUAAUCAUGAUGAAUGUGGUUAGUUUUCAUUGGUUGCAUAUGUAAUAGUAGAGAAAUGAAUUUAGAGGAUAUUUUUAUUUUCAUGAUAGUUAGAAUGGGUGUGUCAAUUUAACAUUCUAUAAAUAUAUAUAUAUAUAUAUAUAUAUAUAUAUACAUUUCAUUAUUUGCAUAUGACUUGGCUUAGCAUGUCACCACUUAUGUUACUUAUAACCAUGGUCACUGUUUGACAAUCAAAAAUCUUCAUUAACUCAAAUACCCACACUUGAUAAUAAGCACUCCUAAGUGACUAGAAAGAGUUGGAAUGGAAACAUGGACUCCCCUCACAAAAACCAAUGGCCUCUUUAUUUCCAUGAACCUUGUGUCCAUAGUCUUCUAAAAUCUAAGCAAAAAAAAUGGUUUUAGAAACAAAAUCAAAUAAUGGAGGUCCAUUAUUUAAAAGCUCCACCAUGGCCUUAGGAGUUUGAAGUGGUGGUUGCCUAUGAAUGGCAUGAUAAGCUCAUCAAUGAUUGAUGGACCCCAUGGCCAUGGUCAAUUAUAAUACAAUUUUCUUGUUUAGCUUAUUCUUCUUUUUAGAAUGGCCCCCCAAAGGCUUUUUUGUACUACACAUUUGUCCUACUCUUUUCUCCCUUAGUUUUGGUUUAAUAGAGUACUCAUCCAUACUGAAUACUAAUAAAGAUUGAUGACUAACAUGUUCUCCUUGACUGCACUUGUGUUCCUACACGAAGCCUGAAUUGUUGUUUUUUAUUAUUCAGAAUUUGAAUAAUCCAGGCUUGUAAAAUGUGUGUGUAUUUUAAAUAAACACACACAUUUUCAACAUUUUCAACAUAAAGAAAAAUCCAUCAAUGGCAUUGUGAUCAUGUCUCAAGUGAAAUAACAACACUAAAUUCUCCCAAAAUUAUAGUCCUUCCCUUGCACACCAACCAAGUGGAUUUCUACACUAAAUAGCGAAAUUUAGAAGCUAUGGGUAAUUCGUUCCUUUGCGACUUUCUCUUAAAAUGGGUGUAAAAUCUUUGUCCUUAAGAACCAACAAGAAUUGAACUUAUUCUAAUUUUUGAUGGUAGAGUGCGAAAUUCGAAACGUAUUCACAAAAGAAAAACAUUUGGAAGGGAACAUCAAGCCGCAGCAUAGCCAUUCCUUUAUUCAGUCUGAUAAGAAAGCCUAAACUUUAAAGUAACGUCAAAAAGGCGAUGGAGAUAACGGCCAUGUACAGAAAAAGCGCUGGGAAUGUAAAUCCGGCAGCUCUGGCCUCUAUUUGCGGCACAUUCCCGUCUAUGCCCUAACGGAUACAUAAGCCUCAACGGACGGACGCUGUCCGGUUUUUCGACGGAAAAAUGGAACGGGAGUUCAGACUGGACGGCUCCGUUCGUAUAUUAUUGCCACCCCCCAACCGCUACUUUGCCCUUCUGAACCAGGUCGACAUAAGAUGGACGAUAUCGUUCAAGAUUCGACGAUAUCUGUCCGUUCGGUGGACGCGCGGGGCCCACAACGGCCGUGCUCCUCCUACUGCUCUUCUUCAUCAAGAGUGUGCGCAACGCUUAUCGAUGCAUUGCGGGCUUCUUCGUAGUUUUCUCUCCCAUUACUGCUUUUACUGAUUGGUGUCGAGUCUCUGAGCUUGCGACAGAUGUACCCAGCUCUCAUUUCGGCUUUGUAGUGCAGGAAUUGCUCGCAUUUCGUGGUUUUGCAGGGAAACGCAUCAGGCUGAAUACAUCAGGAAUUGGUGAGUAAACCAGCUCGUUCUGUUGAUUUUGGCUUGGAUUCGUGGUUUAGUGUCGUGGACGAUUGAUGCUGCAGCGGUUCUGCGGAUGUGCUGCAGUUCUUUGUUGGAUUACUGUCUCUUGUGACGGACUGCGAGCUGGUUUACGUGGUCGUACGCCUCAUUUCGCAUUGUCUCGAAGAUGGGGCGUUGGAGUGAGAGGUGUUAGUUCUUUCUGGAACUCGGGAGGUUCUCCCUGUGGUCCUUUGGGUCUCACAUGGAGACAAAAGCGUAAAUGUCGAUGCUUGUAGCUAUUCCUCGGGUGGUCGAAUGGCACUGCAUUGAAUCUCAGCGUGCGAGUCCAACGCUAUGGUAGUGCUCGUGCCCUUGUCGAUGUAGACCCCACGAAUUCCCUUCUUCCUCUUUCGGAAAACUGAUUAGCGGUCGAGAGUCUGUUAGACAGAUGCAGAAUUUAGAUCAAGCUCCUGUAAUCCGAGAUUGCCCUUUCCAGUGUAUACUUGUAUUCUCUAGUCGGACGCUGAAACACCAUCCCCGAUGAUCCAUGACAGUUACUUGCGUCUGACAUAGUGGGAAAUCAGUUGAUCACACUCUGACUGGCUUGUAGGGAUCUUGUGGCGCAACUUUCACCUCCUAGCGAGGCAUUUAUUGCUUUAUUUGGACAUUUGCUGCUUCCUGAAACAUGGAUACCGUUUACGUGAAAUCGGGUCAGCACGUCAGAUCAAGGGCCGUUCUCAUUGCCGUUAUUAAUGUUAUCGCUGUGGUAAGUAGGUGCUCUCUCAUUUCGUUUUGUGCGUUGCAAUGUUUAAACUCUUGAAACCACUAGGUCCACCUGACCUUCUGGAUAUUUGACUGUUCGACUUAUCUCUUCUGUUAGAUACCUUCCCAGAUUAUACUUCCGUCACCUGUACGACAUACUUUCAGUUUCACCUUAGAGAGCAGUGUCAAUUCAAGUUCUCUAAAUGAGUAACAAAUCUCUUACAAUUCUGCGUGCCACUGUGUUACAGCUAGCCGCGCUAGCCCUCAUAUCAUUAGGUAUAUGGUUGGCAACGAGACCUGGUGAUUGUGAAAAGUAUUUGACUGUCCCAGUGUUUCUCCUUGGAGCUUUCUUCCUACUUGUGUACGCUCCAUAUCCCACAUUAGCUUGCAAACAUCGAUGUUUUCUAUUCCUACUAGUGAACAGUUCUUCAUGCAGAUUUCAGAAGUGUCUGUGCCGUGCGAUAGUGCCUCAUGCUAAUCAUUAACUCCACGUUGUGUGUUCAGGGCCGUGCUGGGUGUCUCCGGUUCCUGGUUCGGAUUUGUCCCUGUCCUGUAUACCGUAUCCUUUCAGAUGACCAAAAGAAUGGGUCCCAUGCUUUUACAUGCUUUCAAUCAUUGUAGAUAGUGUCAUCAAAGUUAGGUCAUUAGUUGACCCUCCCCAUCCUUUUGUUUUUUUUCUUCCCUUCAGAUCCGUCUUUUAUAAAUUCGUUUACUUCCUCUUCUCUGUUAAAGGAAUUUCUGAAAUUCAAUCUAUGGACGUGUCAACCUGGCUUGAAUCUACCCUUGACUGGAUUCUUCGCAGUACUUGGUGCUGAUGUUUGUGGUGGCACUCGGGUUUCUGGCCUUGUCGAUUUUCAUGUGAGUUUCUCAAGCAUUCUACCUCACUUUUACAGGCAAAAUUUUUUGUCUGGAUGUAUGUCAUAUCGUCUCUUUCUUAUUUUAAUUUACAAAGCGGUGUAGACACACUCUUAGAAUAGACUAGCCGUCCAAUGUAGAUGACGGACAGGUCUUGCAUGUAGCACGAAUCUUCUUGCGUAUAUUUCCUACGAUUAUAUACUGUCCCUGCUGGAAUACUGGGUUUUGAUGCUGUCACCAGUCAGCGUUCUAUAUCUGUUGUGACCCGGCCUUUUUGCGAAGAUCUUGCACUCUGUUGAAUGGGGUGGCAAUACUUUCCAGUAGACGAGCUAUCAAAUUGACAUUAACCUAC
rnacentral:lncRNA from 1 species